UACGUAGGGUGCAAGCGUUGUCCGGAAUUAUUGGGCGUAAAGAGCUCGUAGGCGGCUUGUCGCGUCGGCUGUGAAAACUCGGGGCUCAACCCCGAGCCUGCAGUCGAUACGGGCAGGCUAGAGUCCGGCAGGGGAGACUGGAAUUCCUGGUGUAGCGGUGAAAUGCGCAGAUAUCAGGAGGAACACCGGUGGCGAAGGCGGGUCUCUGGGCAACAACUGACGCUGAGGAGCGAAAGCGUGGGGAGCGAACAGG
rnacentral:rRNA from 1 species